rnacentral:rRNA from 1 species
AAUGAACGUUGGCGGCGUGGAUUAGGCAUGCAAGUCGAGCGAGAACCGUAGCAAUACGGGGACAGCGGCGAAAGGGACAGUAAUGUGUAGGUACCUACCCCUGGGUUCGGGAUAGCUGCGGGAAACUGCAGGUAAUACCGAAUAACGUCUACGGACCAAAGGUGUGAUUACACCUGGGGAGGGGCCUGCAUCCUAUUAGCUUGUUGGCGGGGUAAUGGCCCACCAAGGCAACGAUGGGUAGCGGGUGUGAGAGCACGACCCGCGUCAUUGGGACUGAGAUACUGCCCAGACACCUACGGGUGGCUGCAGUCGAGGAUCUUCGGCAAUGGGCGAAAGCCUGACCGAGCGACGCCGCGUGCGGGAUGAAGGCCUUCGGGUUGUAAACCGCUGUCGUAGAGGAGGAAAUGCAGGGGGGUUCUCCCCUUUGCUUGACCUAUUCUAGGAGGAAGUACGGGCUAAGUUCGUGCCAGCAGCCGCCGUAA